rnacentral:rRNA from 1 species
GACGAACGCUGGCGGCGUGCUUAACACAUGCAAGUCGAACGGAAAGGCCCUGCUUUUGUGGGGUGCUCGAGUGGCGAACGGGUGUGUAACACGUGUGUAACCUGCCCUUGACUUUGGGAUAACUUCAGGAAACUGGGGCUAAUACCGGAUAGGAGCUCCUGCUGCAUGGUGGGGGUUGGAAAGUUUCGGCGGUUGGGGAUGGACUCGCGGCUUAUCAGCUUGUUGGUGGGGUAGGGGCUUACCAAGGCUUGGACGGGUAGCCGGCCUGAGAGGGGGACCGGCCACAUUGGGACUGGGAUACGGCCCAGACUCCUCCGGGAGGCAGCAGUGGGGAUUAUUGCACAAUGGGCGGAAGCCUGAUGCAGCAACGCCGCGUGCGGGAUGACGGCCUUCGGGUGGUAAACCGCUUUCGCCUGUGACGAAGCGUGAGUGACGGUAAUGGGUAAAGAAGCACCGGCUAACUACGUG